UCUCCCUGUACCAACAGAUGUAAGCCCAUUAAUUAACUGAGCCUUAACUUGUCAGUUAACUGAGUUUAUUCUAAAACCUUUCUUUUUGACUGCACAGACUCAACCGCUGACCUGAGCUCCAAGCUGUGGAACCUGUUCCUGAGAUCAGAGGAAGCUUUCUGGAGCUGAUGGAAAUCUCUGAAAUGAAGAGCUCAGGGGAUUCCUGCAUUCGUGUGCAAAAACAGAAAACUGCCUUCAUCUCUCAUCUGUUUGGAAAGUGCUUCUCUUGCUGGCCAGGAAACCAGGCAGGUGGGCAGAUAUUUCUUUCCAAAAUUUUCAGUUGCACUAUAUUCAGCCAGGUAUGAGGCUAACUUGUGUACAUAACAUUUCCAUUCAUUUGUCGUCACCCCCCUCUCAAGCUACUCAUUUAAGAAUCAUAUUUUUGAUUGAUUGCACCAGUCCUAUUUGCCUAGUUCUCUCUCUUUUUUUAAAUGCUCCACCUUGUUCCGUUGUUU
rnacentral:lncRNA from 1 species